rnacentral:rRNA from 1 species
UACGUAGGGGGCUAGCGUUGUCCGGAAUCAUUGGGCGUAAAGCGCGUGUAGGCGGUCCGGUAAGUCCGCUGUGAAAGUCGGGGGCUCAACCCUCGGAUGCCGGUGGAUACUGUCGGGCUUGAGUACGGAAGAGGCGAGUGGAAUUCCUGGUGUAGCGGUGAAAUGCGCAGAUAUCAGGAGGAACACCAAUUGCGAAGGCAGCUCGCUGGGACGUUACUGACGCUGGAGACGCGAAAGCGUGGAGAGCAAACAGGA